rnacentral:rRNA from 1 species
GCCCUACCACCUGAGCAUGCUCAAUCUCCUCUGAUCUUGGAAGCUAAGGAGGGGUGGGCCUAAUUAGUACUUGGAUGAGAAAGAGUUGAGAGAGAGGCAAGAGAGAGCC